UACAGAGACUGCGAGCGUUAUUCGGAUUCACUGGGCUUAAAGGGCGCGUAGGCGGGCUGUCAAGUCUGGGGUGAAAUCCCACGGCUCAACCGUGGAACUGCCUUAGAUACUGACGGCCUCGAGGGAGAUAGGGGCGAGCGGAACUGUGAGUGGAGCGGUGAAAUGCGUUGAUAUUCACAGGAACUCCGGUGGCGAAGGCGGCUCGCUGGAUCUUUUCUGACGCUGAGGCGCGAAAGCUAGGGGAGCAAACGGG
rnacentral:rRNA from 1 species